GCGGAGUGACGCGCCGGUGACGGCGGCGGAAGUGACGCUCGGCGGGGGGGGCGGCGGCGGCGGCGGUCCCGGUGUACGCUCGGCGGUGUCUCCUUCUCCUCAGUCACGGCUCCGGCUCGGCCUCCCCGCGCCGCCAUGUCCGCCCCCGGCAGCGGCGGCGAGUUCGGGAACCCGCUGAGGAAAUUCAAGCUCGUCUUUCUGGGCGAGCAGAGCGUUGGGAAGACCUCUCUGAUCACCAGGUUUAUGUAUGACAGUUUUGACAAUACUUACCAGGCGACCAUUGGAAUUGAUUUCCUGUCAAAAACAAUGUAUCUUGAAGAUCGCACGCAGGUUCGGCUGCAGCUUUGGGACACAGCAGGCCAGGAGCGGUUCCGCAGUCUCAUUCCCAGCUACAUCCGCGACUCCACUAUUGCUGUGGUAGUCUAUGACAUUACAAACUUGAAUUCUUUCCAGCAAACCUCCAAGUGGAUUGAUGACGUUCGGACAGAGAGAGGAAGUGAUGUCAUCAUCAUGUUGGUGGGGAACAAAACUGACCUGGCAGACAAGAGACAGGUUUCUAUAGAGGAGGGUGAGAGAAAAGCCCAAGAACUGAAUAUGAUGUAUUUUGAAACCAGUGCUAAAGCAGGAUAUAAUGUGAAACAGGCAAAUCACUACAGAAGAAGGUGAACAGAGAGCCAAAGAGCUGAAUGUGAUGUUUAUUGAGACCAGUGCAAAGACUGGAUACAAUGUGAAACAGCUUUUCCGUCGUGUGGCUGCUGCCUUACCUGGGAUGGACAGCACACCAGAGAAGAGCAAAGAAGACAUGAUUGACAUCAAACUAGAGAAACCUCCUGAGCAGCCAGUAACGGAGAGCGGGUGCUCCUGCUAACAGGCCCGUUCUGUAGCAGCACAUUCCCCAACCGGCCAGUCUCACUGAAGAACAUCACCGCUCAUUGGCUAGGCAACCCUACUUUGUGGGCUGAAAAACCAAUCUACUAAGCGAGCGAACUCCCUGUUUACUGGUGGGGAGCAGCCCCGGCCGCCCCUCUUACUGCAUGGUAUGAGCCCUGAGUGCAGAAUGAGUGUCCUGUCUUUUAUUUUAUUUUUUUAUGUUGUUGCACUUUGGCACUGUGGUGCCCUUUACACUCUCUCUCUUCCUCUCCUUCUCCCCCUCUUCCCCACCUUGAGCCUGUCUGCUCAGAUGUAUCUUGUGAAUGCAAUGGAAAAGCCACCAAGUUAGGGAAGACAAAAAUAAAGCUUGGGGGUGGGAUUUCCACCUUCCUUACUGCCUUGCAUCUUAACUAGUUCCCUGUCCAUGCCAGCCCAGUCUUUGUCCUGCAUCCCCACUUCCUCUGUCAAAAGGCUGCUCCUUUUAAACCAGUCAGUUUGACUUGGCCUUGCCUUUUUGGACAAUACAGGUUAUCUGUUUCUAGGCUUUUGCUUCCUGCAGGGCACACACAAUACUAGCUCCUCAGUUUCUCCUUUCUGUGGAUGAUCUUGGCUAACUCUUGCUCAUGACUUCUGAGUUUUGCCCCUUGUGUUACACACAGCACUGGAAACCCCCAAACUCUGAUAGCUUUGGCCUUGUUGCUCCUGUUUGUGUAGCAGAGACACCCUGCAGACUGCUCUCCUCAGUUGGAGCGUCUUCCCAUCCAGAGGACAUUGGUGCUUGGUGAGUGUUGGCUGUCAGAUGUGGGGAAGGAAGAGGGUACAGAGGCUUUGCAGCACAAAGCUGGGUGGGGAGAGAUCCUCGGGGUGGUUUGUAGAGACCUGGGUCCUGUCUGUCAACAGCGAAAGCGAACAGUUACCUGAAGUCCAUCACUACAGGGGCAAUACCUGCCCUAGAAGUCAUGGAUGCUGUUCAGGCUCCUUUCUAGUCUCUGUUCUCCUGUUCAUCGUCACGUAGGCUGGGAGCUUCUUCACGCAGAGCAGGAGAGCUACAGCAGAUGGAAGGCCAGCGAUAGCUGUUGUGCUCUCGUACCUAGGUUGCUGCUUGAUGAAAUCAUACGUAGCUGCUUCUGCCUUCGUAGUAGACUUCCAGGGGAUGGGGCUAGUAGCCAUUUCACUUUUGGAAUAGUGUUAAGCUCUAAUAUUGCCAAAACUGAGAUGAGCAGUGGCAGGGAUUUAUUGUCAGACCUGGGUAGAAGAAUGGAGGAAUGUAUGCUGCUGAAGUGAAUUUUGGUGUCACUUCUCCACCUUGGAGUUUGGGAAGUACAUCCUCUUCUCCCUGCCCCUGGUUUCUAACUACGUUAAUAGAGCUUUUCAGAGACUUUUACUGGGGGUUUUCCAUCCAUCCGUCCUAAUCAGAAGUCUGUAGGUUUGUUGACAGUGAGGGGAAUAAAACAGUCGGAUGGCUCUAAGCCAUUCACUGUUCUUUUCAUCACCCAGCCUAUGUCAUGCUGAUGGGGGGGGGAGGGAUGCCAGCAGGCAGGAGAGUGACUGACCACAGUGUGACGGGUGGGAGCAGUGUGACGGGUGGGAACGAGCGCGUUUGGUGGUUAGUGACACUCCCCUGGCAGGAUGCCUGUCGGGUCCCUGACACAGCGUGCGCACUUUGAAGCCUGCGGGCCGUCGAGGGGAGGGGAAGGGGCAGCCUCGGACCGUGAGCUGCUGGUCCCCACCUUGGCUUACUGGCGGCAAGUCACCUCGCUGCCGGUGGCUGAUGUUUUUUUCCCCAGAGCCCUGUCCCUUCCCCUCUGGGUGAGCUGGCCUGCAGGAGGAAGCAGGGAUGCGGUUUCCCAUUUCACUCCGGAGUGUCCCCCCCUCACCUUACCCACAGUCCCAGCUGGCAGAGCCGGGUCCCAACGCCUGGUGAGAUGCUCAGCCCCCUCCUCUGUACAUACCCCUGUUGUGUGGGAAUUGCUGAUGUUUGUCGGUGUGUCCGUGUCUGCUGUAGAACAGGUUUUGCUGUCCCCUUCUCACAGGCAGGUGUGCGCUGCUCUGCUGUCGUGUUGUUCUGAGUCACGGACCUGGGGGGAGGGAGGGGGGAGACCCUAAGUAAUGGGGGGGGGGGGGGGGGGGUAACUAGUGAAAUAAAAUAGUUCACUUCCCACUGUCUUCUCUAUGGAUGUGUAUAAUAUUGAGUGUGUGUCUGGCCCUGCUGUCUCCUAGCUGUUAGCCGAGUAAGUGUGACUAUUAAUAUGAGUAUGGACUGUCUGACCACGGCCGUGUAUCACACUAAAUAAAGUUAUUUCACCAACA